UGCCAGCCGCCGCGGUAAUACGGAGGGGGUUAGCGUUGUUCGGAAUUACUGGGCGUAAAGGGCGCGUAGGCGGUCAUUUAAGUUAGGCGUGAAAGCCCCGGGCUCAACCCGGGAACUGCGCUUAAAACUGAGAGACUAGAAAACGGAAGAGGGUAGUGGAAUUUGUUGUGUAGCGGUGAAAUGCGCAGAUAUAACAAGGAACACCUAUGGCGAAGGCAGCACUCUGGGCUGGUAUUGACGCUGAGGAGCGAAAGCAUGGGUAGCAAACAGGAUUAGAUA
rnacentral:rRNA from 1 species